CGUGUACUCCUUCCGUCUCAUAUUAAGUGUCGAAAUAUUACAUGUAUCUAGAUGAUUUCUAAACAUAGAUACAUUCAUAUUUGGACAAAUUUGAGAUACUUAAUAUGGGACGGAGGAAGUACAUU
rnacentral:pre_miRNA from 1 species